GACGUCAAGUCCUCAUGGCCCUUAUGGGCUGGGCUACACACGUGCUACAAUGGUAUUUACAGAGGGAAGCGAGACAGCGAUGUGGAGCGGACCCCUUAAAGAAUAUCGUAGUCCGGAUCGGAGUCUGCAACUCGACUCCGUGAAGUCGGAAUCGCUAGUAAUCGCGUAACAGCAUGACGCGGUGAAUACGUUCCCGGGCCUUG
rnacentral:rRNA from 1 species